rfam:Angustibacter sp. Root456 contig_7, whole genome shotgun sequence.
GCCGGUCCUCGGUAGUGGCUUCCGGAGCGAGGUUCUCGCUCCGUGGGCCUCGAUCGAAGACCGGG